rnacentral:rRNA from 1 species
CCUACGGGUGGCAGCAGUGGGGAAUAUUGGGCAAUGGAGGAAACUCUGGACCAGCAACGCCGCGUGAAUGAUGAAGGUCUUCGGAUUGUAAAGUUCUUUUCUCAGGGAAGAAGAAAGUGACGGUACCUUAGGAAUAAGCCUCGGCUAACUACGUGCCAGCAGCCGCGGUAAUACGUAGGGAGCAAGCGUUAUCCGGAAUGACUGGGCGUAAAGGGUGCGUAGGCGGUUUGACAAGUUGGUAGCGUAACACCGAGGCUUAACCUCGGCGCUACGACCAAAACUGUUGGACUCGAGUGCAGGAGGGGCAGAUGGAAUUCCUAGUGUAGCGGUGGAAUGCGUAGAUAUUAGGAGGAACACCAGUGGCGAAGGCGAUUUGCUGGACUGUAACUGACACUGAUGCACGAAAGCGUGGGGAGCAAACAGGAUUAGAUACCCUGGUAGUC